UUGCACGCUGGCGGCAGGCCUCACCCCUGCCAGUCCCGCGGAUGAAGGGAGCUUGCUCCUGGAUUCAGCGGCGGACGGGUGAGUAAUGCCUAGGAAUCUGCCUGGUAGUGGGGGAUAACGUCCGGAAACGGGCGCUAAUACCGCAUACGUCCUGAGGGAGAAAGUGGGGGAUCUUCGGACCUCACGCUAUCAGAUGAGCCUAGGUCGGAUUAGCUAGUUGGUGGGGUAAAGGCCUACCAAGGCGACGAUCCGUAACUGGUCUGAGAGGAUGAUCAGUCACACUGGAACUGAGACACGGUCCAGACUCCUACGGGAGGCAGCAGUGGGGAAUAUUGGACAAUGGGCGAAAGCCUGAUCCAGCCAUGCCGCGUGUGUGAAGAAGGUCUUCGGAUUGUAAAGCACUUUAAGUUGGGAGGAAGGGCAGUAAGUUAAUACCUUGCUGUUUUGACGUUACCAACAGAAUAAGCACCGGCUAACUUCGUG
rnacentral:rRNA from 1 species